rnacentral:rRNA from 1 species
UGGGGAAUUUUGGACAAUGGGCGAAAGCCUGAUCCAGCAAUGCCGCGUGUGUGAAGAAGGCCUUCGGGUUGUAAAGCACUUUUGUCCGGAAAGAAAUCCUUGGCUCUAAUACAGUCGGGGGAUGACGGUACCGGAAGAAUAAGCACCGGCUAACUACGUGCCAGCAGCCGCGGUAAUACGUAGGGUGCAAGCGUUAAUCGGAAUUACUGGGCGUAAAGCGUGCGCAGGCGGUUUGCUAAGACCGAUGUGAAAUCCCCGGGCUCAACCUGGGAACUGCAUUGGUGACUGGCAGGCUAGAGUAUGGCAGAGGGGGGUAGAAUUCCACGUGUAGCAGUGAAAAUGCGUAGAGAUGUGGAGGAAUACCGAUGGCGAAGGCAGCCCCCUGGGCCAAUACUGACGCUCAUGCACGAAAAGCGUGGGGAGCAAAACAGGAUUAGAUACCCUGGUAGUCCACGCCCUAAAACGAUGUCAACUAGUUGUUGGGGAUUCAUUUCCUUAGUAACGUAGCUAACGCGUGAAGUUGACCGCCUGGGGGAGUACGGUCGCAAGAUUAAAAACUU